rnacentral:rRNA from 1 species
CACGUAGGGCGCGAGCGUUGUCCGGAAUUAUUGGGCGUAAAGAGCUCGUAGGCGGCCUGUUGCGUCCGCUGUGAAAGCCCCGGGGCUUAACCCCGGGUCGGCAGUGGAUACGGGCAGGCUAGAGGUAGGUAGGGGAGAAUGGAAUUCCCGGUGUAGCGGUGAAAUGCGCAGAUAUCGGGAGGAACACCGGUGGCGAAGGCGGUUCUCUGGGACGGUACUGACGCUGAGACGCGAAAGCGUGGGGAGCGAACAGG